CGGGGUGUAGUUCAGUGGCUAGAACGCACGCAUGGGGUGCGUGAGGUCGUGGGUUCAAGUCCCACCACCCCGACCA
rnacentral:tRNA from 1 species